rnacentral:rRNA from 1 species
UCCACGCCGUAAACGAUGAAUGCUAGGUGUCGGGAGUCGAAUCUCGGUGCCGCAGUUAACGCAAUAAGCAUUCCACCUGGGGAGUACGAUCGCAAGAUUGAAACUCAAAGGAAUUGACGGGGGCCCGCACAAGCGGUGGAGCAUGUGGUUUAAUUCGAAGCAACGCGAAGAACCUUACCAAAUCUUGACAUCCCUUUGACCGGCAUUUAAUUUUGCCUUUUCUUCGGAACAAAGGUGACAGGUGGUGCAUGGUUGUCGUCAGCUCGUGUCGUGAGAUGUUGGGUUAAGUCCCGCAACGAGCGCAACCCUUAUCUUUAGUAGCCAGCAUUUCGGAUGGGAACUCUAGAGAGACUGCCAGGGAUAACCUGGAGGAAGGUGGGGAUGACGUCAAAUCAUCAUGCCCCUUAUGAUUUGGGCUACAC